rnacentral:rRNA from 1 species
UACGUAGGGUGCAAGCGUUGUCCGGAAUUAUUGGGCGUAAAGAGCUCGUAGGCGGUCUGUCGCGUCUGCUGUGAAAACUCAGGGCUUAACCCUGAGCUUGCAGUGGGUACGGGCAGACUAGAGUGCGGUAGGGGAGACUGGAAUUCCUGGUGUAGCGGUGAAAUGCGCAGAUAUCAGGAGGGAACACCGGUGGCGAAGGCGGGUCUCUGGGCCGUAACUGACGCUGGAGGAGCGGAAA